rnacentral:antisense_RNA from 1 species
GGAGAAUCUAAGACUUCUGAAGAGUUUCUUGCUUCUUUCCUGUGGGGCAGUGACUCCACUUCCCAGCAGUAAUGGAAUAUCCUGAAUUAGCUACAUUAAUGUUAGAACCAUUUGGACCUCACCCAGGACUUCAACUACAUUAUGGUUAAGACAGAGAAUCUGAAGACUGCAUACCUGACCUCUCGUUUUUACCUACCCACCCACCCACACCCAAAUAUUUCUACUGGACUAUAAUUUAUUGUGACGCCCCCACUUCCACUGCAGGAUGUUAUAAGAAAUGAGACUCACUACUGAAUUCACAGCAGGCAUGGUUGAAGGCACCAUUCACUAUAGCUUGCAGUGUUCCCUUUAUGAGAUUUGUAUGAGAAAUUCCUCUCAUAGGUCAAGUUCUUGGAAGAAAAUUCUCCCAAAGAGCAAGUCUCAGGAAAAGCUUGGCUGCUAAAGUUACAGAACCCAAAUUUGGCAACUGUCUGCAUCUGAACAACAGAAGUUUCAACAUUCUGCCAACAGAGUAACUCCUGGACGAUUGGCACAGAAGGCACAAGGCAAAUACCUAUCUCUGUACACCCUGUGCUACUGUGUCAUGUGCUGCUCCAGGCAACUCCAAUGGAUUGGCCACCCUGGCCAAUGUGCCCUCCAAACACCAGCACUGAGUAGAAAGAGGCUCUGAUUCAUGAAAUGUGAAUUUAUGACAGUUGCCACUCUUAAAAAAAAAACAAACAGACAGAACUUGAGCAAUACAUGACUGAUGCAUUCUCAGCCUGCUUCCUGUGUUCCAUCUGUCUUUCU